AUACGCUAGUGUUCGUUGAUUAAAACUGCAUUUUUAAAAAUCAAGAGCUAAGUCCUACUUCCCACUUAAAAGUCAUCUCCUGUUCUUUUUUAAGCCUGAAUUUCUCAGUGAAAGUUGUCUGGCCAGCUUGGUAAUUGCUUCUUAGAAGGACAAAGGGCGAAGAUUUUGACACAGUUUCCAUUGCACCAUGUCCAGAUAAUGAGAGAGCAUACAUGCACCUUCAUGUGUGUUCUGAUUGGCGGAGUGACAUCAGCAUGUAUCGCUUCAAUCCGUGGAAUAUCUGCAAAGCAUCUCCCACAUGUCAGACCCUGAGAAGACUAAAGAGCCAGUCCUGAAUUGUGAGUGGGAAAAGGGAGGAAUUUUUCUCAGCUCCUUAUCAAGACUUACAGAACUAGCACCCUCAAUCACUCUGAAUAAUUGGGCAGAUGCUCUUAUCCAGCAUGAAGAACAGCAGUGGAGAACAUCAGUGUUACAACAUACAAGAAUGCAGCAUCACCAAGGCUAAUCAACAAUCACUAAUUGUAAAAUUAACCUAACAAAUAAAAA